rnacentral:rRNA from 1 species
UACAGAGGGUGCAAGCGUUGUUCGGAAUCACUGGGCGUAAAGCGCACGUAGGCGGCUUGUUAAGUCAGGGGUGAAAUCCUGGAGCUCAACUCCAGAACUGCCUUUGAUACUGGCGAGCUUGAGUCCGGGAGAGGUGAGUGGAACUGCGAGUGUAGAGGUGAAAUUCGUAGAUAUUCGCAAGAACACCAGUGGCGAAGGCGGCUCACUGGCCCGGUACUGACGCUGAGGUGCGAAAGCGUGGGGAGCAAACAGG